rnacentral:misc_RNA from 1 species
UUUUUGUUCUAAUUUUUUUUUUUUUUUUUAUAAUUUUGACAAGGGGAAAGUUUGAGAUUUGGAUAAUACUGGUCUCAGAAUUGAUAUGCCAGUCUUUCUCAGGGGAAGUUAGCAGAGCUGGUUGAGCACAUCUGUUCUGGGAACCUGCUACGCUAUUUCAAGUAUUGUGUGCUAGCUCGGGGGUUGUUCCUUUUUUUUUGUCGUCUCUUUGUUGGCUGCACAAACCUAAUUGUAAUUUGUUGGGAUUGAUGUAUUAAAAUUAUUGAGGAUCCAGCUGGUGUGUUCUUGAUGCUGCUAAUGAUAAUGAUAAAUGUGG